GUAUUAUUUUCUCAUUGAACUCGACAAAAACCUACAGAAUACUAUUAUAAGAAUCCAAUCACAUUUGAUUUACACAGCUGUACAAUGAAGUUUAAAGGAUUAUGUACUUUGUCUGUGUUGCUCGUUACUUCUUUGAAUUUCAUUUCCGGACAUUCUUAUCAUUUGGAUCAACACCCCGAUUUUGAACCUUUGCCCGAUUUCGUAAUGGAAAGAUUUCUAGGACGAUGGUACGCCGUACAAAUGACGUCGCUGUCGAGUCGGUGUAUGGUUUUUGAUUUUGCAAACACACAAGAACC